UUAUAUUUUAUCUUAAUUACUAAAACUAAAAUUUUCAAUUUUACAUAUUUUAACUUUAAAUUUCAGUUCCUAAAUUUUAAAUUUUACAUUCUAUAUUCAAAUUUUAAAUUUUAAAAUUUAAAAUUUAAAAUAUAAUAUUUGAAACCUAAAAUUUUAAAUUUAAUAUUUGAUAUUUAAAAGUUAAAAAUAAUAUUUAAAAUCUAUGUAUAAAAGAUGUUUAUUUGAAAUUCUUCAAUUUAGAAUUUUAAAUCUGAAUGAUAGUUUAAAAUUUUACUAUAAAAUCAAAAGUUAAAUUUAAAUUUUAAAUCGAAAAUCAAACUAAAAUUUUAGAUUGCCGAUGUUUAUCCGCUGCGAAGCUC
rnacentral:lncRNA from 1 species